GGCUCCGUCUACCCCCAGGACCCCAACAAAGUGGGCGCCUCCCCCUCGGACUGCUGCAUCAUCUGGGUCAGCAUGGCCCUGCAGAACGGCACCCUCUACAAGAGCAUCCUGGUAACAAGCCAGGAGAAGGCCCCCACCGUGGUGGCAAAGGUGCUGGAGAAACACAACCAGGACAAGAAUCUGGCACAUGACUACAAGCUGGUGCAGCUGUUGCCGGAUGGCCGAGAGCUGGUCUUCCCCCCCAUGGCAAACAUCUUCUAUGCCAGGAAUGGC